GGCAAGGCUAGAUAAAUUAAAGGUUAAGUAAGGUCAGUGAAGGUUAGGAUCGUGGAUUGUUUACUUAGUUAGGUGAGGAAGUAAAGUUGAUAGGUAGGGAAAGGCUUGACAAGUUAAAGGUUAAGUAAGGUCAGAGAAGGUUAAGAUCGUGGUUUGUUUACUUAGUUAGGUGAACAAGUAAAGUACAUAGGUAGGGAAAGGCUAGAUAAAUUAAAGGUAAGUAAGGUCAGGGAAGGUUAAGAUCGUGGUUUGUUUACUUAGUUAGGUGAGGAAGUAAAGUUGAUAGGUAGGGCAAGGCUAGAUAAAUAAAAGGUACGUAAGGUCAGAGAAGGUUAGGAUCGUGGUUUGUUUACUUAGUUAGGUGAGGAAGUAAAGUUGAUAGGUAGGGAAAGGCUAGAUAAAUAAAAGGUACGUAAGGUCAGAGAAGGUUAAGAUCGUGGUUUGUUGACGCACUUCUCCUCCCGAAAUUGACCUCUCUUUUGGCCACUUAUUACUCUUGUUUUUGUGGGAACAGCGAUUAGCGGGCUUUUUUUUUUUAAACCUUUUUUUGUUGCCCUUGAGCUGUUUCCUUAGCUAUAAAAAAAAGUAGGUAGGUAGGUAAGGGGGUAAGGUAAGGUGGAGAGGUAAGUGUCUUCUGAGGCCUGUGGAUUAGGGUAGAUUUUCUUGGAUUAUUCUGGAUUGGAUUCGUUUGCAAGUAGAUUUUUUUUAUUCUUUGAGGGGGGAGGGAUGUCCAGUUUGUUGUUGUUGUUGUUGUUGUUGUUGUUGUUGUUGUUUUUUUAGUAGUAACGGUUGUAGUAGAAGAGAGAGAG